CCCUUAGAUGUUCUGGGCCGCACGCGUGCUACACUGAGUGGAUCAGCGGGUCAGGUUGCGCGAAAGUGUUUCCUAAUCUUUAAAUCCGCUCGUGAUGGGGAUUGACGGUUGCAAUUUUCUGUCAUGAACGAGGAAUACCUUGUAAGCGCGGGUCAUCAUCCCGCGCUGAAUACGUCCCUGCCCUUUGUACACACCGCCCGUCGCUCCUACCGAUUGAGUGGUCCGGUGAGGCUUUGGGAUCUGGGCGGAAAGAGCGUUUCGCUGUUUCUGCCCGGAAAACUCAGUCGAACCUUAUCAUUUAGAGGAAGGAGAAGUCGUAACA
rnacentral:rRNA from 1 species